rnacentral:rRNA from 1 species
AUUGAACGCUGGCGGCAGGCUUAACACAUGCAAGUCGAGCGGAGAGAGGUAGCUUGCUACUGAUCUUAGCGGCGGACGGGUGAGUAAUGCUUAGGAAUCUGCCUAUUAGUGGGGGACAACAUUUCGAAAGGAAUGCUAAUACCGCAUACGUCCUACGGGAGAAAGCAGGGGAUCUUCGGACCUUGCGCUAAUAGAUGAGCCUAAGUCGGAGUAGCUAGUUGGUGGGGUAAAGGCCUACCAAGGCGACGAUCUGUAGCGGGUCUGAGAGGAUGAUCCGCCACACUGGGACUGAGACACGGCCCAGACUCCUACGGGAGGCAGCAGUGGGGAAUCUUGGACAAUGGGGGAAACCCUGAUCCAGCGAUGCCGCGUGUGUGAAGAAGGCCUUAGGGUUGUAAAGCACUUUAGUGGGGGAGGAGUAGGCAUGAUUGCAUAGAUCAUGUUGAGGACGUUACCCCAAGAAUAAGCACCGGCUAACUCUGUGCCAGCCGCCGCGGUAA